CAUGUUCUAAAGGAAAUGCAGAAUUGGAUUAUCUGUGCCUCAAUCUACGCUGAGGUGAAGAACCCCUGAGUUCGUACUACUUCAAUUAACUUCCUGGCAAGAAAGAAUGCCAAGAGAAAUACAGUGAUGUAACUCCAUUAAGGAUCCCUCAGUGUCAGGAAAUGUUAUCUGAGAAAUGGAAAAGAAGCAUUGUUAUCCCAACUUCUUGCAUAGUGGGAAGUACUGCAGAAGAAAGCUACGGAAUAGAGCAAGUCAGGAUGAUUCUGCUAGUUCCCCUGGCUGGAUUUGAAAGUAUCUCACAGACAGUGCCCACAGGCACUGAGCUGGCUGAAGGUACAGUCAGCGGACAUGGAGCAAGAACUGAGGGUAUGCUUAAACUUGCGGACACCGCUGUUAUCACACAUAACAUCAUACCCCACGGAAG
rnacentral:lncRNA from 1 species